CGUUGUCGUCUGUCCCGCCAGCUGCCGCCCCUCGUCCAUGGCCGCGUCGUCGCACGCUAGCACCCGAGCACCUCAAGCUAGCGCCGUCACGCCCUAUCUCGUGUCCGGAGGAGCGUUGCUACUCCAGCCGCUUGCCUGGCCCGCAACCCAGCCGGUCCAGCCUCGCACAAUGCUCCGCUGGCCUAGUCCGCCCCGACCUGCCCACGCCUCCCAAGGCCCAGCCACUCCCACUAGACUGUUCCCCGCACCUGAGCUGACCGUAGUCGGCCCAACAUCGGUGCACCGCCCAGCCUCGUCUCCAUCGCCCAUGUGCGCUUCUUAAUAUGUUGCGUUUGGUCAUGUUGGAAAUUUGCCCCAUCACAUAUUUUUUCCAUGGAACAAUUUGUCUAAUUAAAGAGUGAAAUAUAUAUUUG
rnacentral:lncRNA from 1 species